rnacentral:rRNA from 1 species
CAGUCGCCACGGGAAUACGUAGGGUGCGAGCGUUAAUCGGAAUUACUGGGCGUAAAGCGUGCGCAGGCGGUUAUGCAAGACAGAUGUGAAAUCCCCGGGCUUAACCUGGGAACUGCAUUUGUGACUGCAUGGCUAGAGUGCGGCAGAGGGGGAUGGAGUUCCGCGUGUAGCAGUGAAAUGCGUAGAUAUGCGGAGGAACACCGAUGGCGAAGGCAAUCCCCUGGGCCUGCACUGACGCUCAUGCACGAAAGCGUGGGGAGCGAACAGGAUUAGAUACCCGAGUAGUCCCUGUCUCUUAUAC